rnacentral:lncRNA from 1 species
CUAACAACAGUAUAUUUAUACUGUACAGUAUAGAUGUUAAGUGCUGGUAGUUCUAACAAAAGUAUGUUGAAUUCGGGGAUAGCAAAAAUCAUGACAAGGGUUGUUUUGAUUUAAAGAAAAUGGCGUGCUGAAUCACAGGCACCAACAUGGUUUUCAAAAGGAAAAAACAAUCAAUUCAGUUACACAAUAAACGAGAAGAGGUAAAAGAAGGGCUUUGCUGUCAGAUACUUUUCGUGAUAUGCACGUAUCGUCACCACUGGUAGUACUGUCAACUUUACAAGUCAGACACAUCAAUGACAGCAUUGAAUGAAGAAACAAACCAGAAAUAUCCACAUGACAUUCAGAUUGGUGUUAGUAAUAAGCUGGUAAUGAUAAUGAGGG